AUGAUACGCUAUGUGAACACCAUUCUCAUAUUGUCUAUAUAUAGAUAGACAUAAGAUUCACACCUAUCAACAUAUGUAGUUUCUUGAUGGAUUCCAAAGAUGAUGCGUAUUUUUCCAUGAAUGGUGGCGAUGGAAAUCACAGCUAUGCCAAAAACUCAACCUACCAGAGAGGACUAUUCGACGCUGCAACGGAAAUCAUCGAAGAAGAAAUCGCCACAAAGUUAGAGAUUCCAACUUCAAGCAAGCACUUAUGAAUUGCCGAUUUCGGGUGCUCAACCGGCAGCAACUCUUUUCCGGCCAUGCACACGAUCAUCGAAGCCAUCAAACAAAAAUACAAAUCCUCAUACCUCAAAACCCCAGAAUUCUAUGUUUGCUUCAACGACGUCUUCUCCAACGAUUUCAACACCCUCUUCAGCUCACUCCCACCCGACAGGGGCUAUGAUGUUGCCGUUUUGCCCGGAGACUUCCACCGCCGUCUACUCCCGCCAUCGUCCAUCCAUUUCGCGUACUCUGCUUGCUCGCUCCACUGGCUGACGGAGGUACCCAAGGUGGUCGAGGGCCUCAAGUCUCCGCCUCGGAGCGGAGGAGAGAGGGAGGAGGUUUAUGAAGCUUAUUUGGGGCAAUUUGAGAGGGAUUUGAAAUCAUUCUUGAAAUGUAGGGCUUUGGAAAUGGUGGAAGGUGGGAUUAUGUCUCUUCUUAUUCCGGAGUGCCUACUUAUUGGGACCCACAAAAAGAGUUUACCAAUGUGUCUUUGGCCGAACUUCUCAGAUCUUCCCUCCUCGAUCUGACCAAAAAGGAAAGACUGAGUGAGACAAAAUUAGUGAAAUUCAACCUUCCGUACUUCUUUCCUACCCAAAAGAGGUGAGGGCUGUCUUGGAAAGGAGCAAGAGUUUUAGCAUAGAAAGAAUGGAAAUUUUGAAGAGUGGGGCACUGCUCAGUAUUGAUGGCUACGUGGCAUGUUUCAGGGCCGCUCAUGAAAACAUGUUUUCACAUAAGUUUGGAGCUGAAAAUGUCAAUAAAAUUUUCUAAUGUUAAAGAAGAAACUCCAAACUUUUCCUGUUUACGCAAAUCCUUCUAAUGAUAAAUCUAUUGUGGUUGUUGCUAUCCUCAAGCACAACAAUGUUUA